ensembl:lncRNA
GCUAAAUAGUAUAUUUUUUGACACGCAAAGACCCAGACGGUGUUCCAUAGAAAUCCUGGUUGAGAAUGAAACCACUGAACAAAUGAACAACAAAACAGCACAGCAAUUGAAACUGGGAUUAAUCUAUGACGAGCACACUUCUCCAGCAUGCCAGUGGCCAUCGACGGUUAGCAUUUGCCCACUGAAGUCUGUUAUGAUGCUGAACUGCAGUCAGGUCAAGACCCUGGUGAGGAUGACAAGCACGCAGAUGAGCUUCCCUGAGACGUUUGGCAGUUUGUGCAGAAAUUCUUUGGUUGUGCAAACCCACUGUUUUAUCAGCUGUCUGGGUGGCUGGUGUCAGACCAUUCCGCAGGUGAAGAAGCCGGAUGCUGA